rnacentral:tRNA from 1 species
GGAGGGAUCGCAUAGUCUGGCCUAGUGCGCACGCCUGGAAAGCGUGUUGGCGGCGAAAGUCGCCACGAGGGUUCAAAUCCCUCUCCCUCCG